rnacentral:rRNA from 1 species
CCAAUCCUACGGGGGGCAGCAGUGAGGGAUAUUGGUCAAUGGGGGAAACCCUGAACCAGCAACGCCGCGUGAGGGAAGACGGUUUUCGGAUUGUAAACCUCUGUCCUCUGUGAAGAUGAUGACGGUAGCAGAGGAGGAAGCUCCGGCUAACUACGUGUCAGCAGCCGCGGUAAUACGUAGGGAGCAAGCGUUGUCCGGAUUUACUGGGUGUAAAGGGUGCGUGGGCGGCUUUGCAAGUCAGAAGUGAAAUCUAUGGGCUUAACCCAUAAACUGCUUUUGAAGCUGCAGGGCUUGAGUGAAGUAGG